CAUGUGGCUUAAUUUGACUCAACGCGGGAAAUCUUACCGGGUCCGGACACACUGAGGAUUGACAGGCAAUAUAUGUGACUCUUCGGAGUUUGCAUUGUUAAAUAUGCUAGUCCUUUCAUGAUUAUGUGAUAGGUGGUGCAUGGCCGUUCUUAGUUCGUGGAGUGAUCUGUCUGCUUAAUUGCGUUUCAAAUUACUUAUAAGGUAGCAAUACGCGAUGAAGCUUUCAAUAGUCCUCACGGAUUCACUUGAGUCUCUCGCUUCGCUAUCCUUUCGAAUGCAACGAACGUGACCGCAACCUCUUGUUGCCUUCGUUUAACAUCCUGCAGCUCGCUGUGGGUACUGAGGGCUUCACUCGGUGACUUUGGGCUGAGCAAUCGGUCU
rnacentral:rRNA from 1 species